UUGUAUGCCGGAAGGGAUAAAUCUGGGGCUGAGUACAAGCAAAACAAGACCAAAGGAAGCUACCUGAGCAGUCACUGGAGCCCUAAUGAUCGCAGCCAUUUCAGGAAAUGCCAUCAAUUACAGUGAGGAGCUCAUUCAGAAGUGAAAGAUGAGUUCCAUUCUCUGUUACUUAGAGGUAUUACAAAGCUCAAAUCUGAGAAAACCUUGUCUACCAUCAACCCUGACCUACAGAGGAGAGGCACCCCCAAGCUUAUUAGUGAUCCUGUCUCCGUCUUAUUGGCACAUCCUGAUGGCCUUGAUCUCUAGUUCUUCCUGUGGAGCAUAACCAUAUGGUUCUUUGCCAAGAUGUUAAGACCAAAGUCGGAGAGUGAACCCCAUGUCAAUGAAUUCUUGUUUUUCUGAUCUUACAUUCCAUCACUUUGAUCCAGUACUCUCAAAAUGCAAUCACAGUUGUACAUGUCUUCUCCUGUCAAUAAACGCUACCUUAGUACUGCA
rnacentral:lncRNA from 1 species